GUUAAGCGACUAAGCGUACACGGUGGAUGCCCUGGCAGUCAGAGGCGAUGAAGGGCGUGCUAAUCUGCGAUAAGCGCCGGUAAGGUGAUAUGAACCGUUAUAACCGGCGAUACCCGAAUGGGGAAACCCAGUGUGAUUCGUCACACUAUCAUUAACUGAAUCCAUAGGUUAAUGAGGCGAACCGGGGGAACUGAAACAUCUAAGUACCCCGAGGAAAAGAAAUCAACCGAGAUUCCCCCAGUAGCGGCGAGCGAACGGGGAGGAGCCCAGAGCCUGAAUCAGCAUGUGUGUUAGUGGAAGCGUCUGGAAAGGCGCGCGAUACAGGGUGACAGCCCCGUACACAAAAGCGCAUGUGCUGUGAGCUCGAUGAGUAGGGCGGGACACGUGGUAUCCUGUCUGAAUAUGGGGGGACCAUCCUCCAAGGCUAAAUACUCCUGACUGACCGAUAGUGAACCAGUACCGUGAGGGAAAGGCGAAAAGAACCCCGGCGAGGGGAGUGAAAAAGAACCUGAAACCGUGUACGUACAAGCAGUGGGAGCCCCACCACUAAGCCAGUGGUGAACUCCACAUACGCAUCCUUUGCUGAGGAGACGGUUAACGGAGCGAAAGCGACGUUCAACCUCAAAACAAGCAGAGGGGGCUUAGUGGUGG
rnacentral:rRNA from 1 species